rnacentral:rRNA from 1 species
AGUCGAGGGGCAGCGGGAUUGAAGCUUGCUUCAAUUGCCGGCGACCGGCGCACGGGUGAGUAACGCGUAUCCAACCUUCCGUACACUCAGGGAUAGCCUUUCGAAAGAAAGAUUAAUACCUGAUGGUAUGAUGAGAUUGCAUGAUAGCAUCAUUAAAGAUUCAUCGGUGUACGAUGGGGAUGCGUUCCAUUAGGUAGUAGGCGGGGUAACGGCCCACCUAGCCUACGAUGGAUAGGGGUUCUGAGAGGAAGGUCCCCCACAUUGGAACUGAGACACGGUCCAAACUCCUACGGGAGGCAGCAGUGAGGAAUAUUGGUCAAUGGACGAGAGUCUGAACCAGCCAAGUAGCGUGAAGGAUGAAGGUCCUACGGAUUGUAAACUUCUUUUAUAAGGGAAUAAAACCCCCCACGUGUGGGAGCUUGUAUGUACCUUAUGAAUAAGCAUCGGCUAACUCCGUGCCAGCAGCCGCGGUAAUACGGAGGAUGCGAGCGUUAUCCGGAUUUAUUGGGUUUAAAGGGAGCGCAGACGGGUCGUUAAGUCAGCUGUGAAAGUUUGGGGCUCAACCUUAAAAUUGCAGUUGAUACUGGCGUCCUUGAGUGCGGUUGAGGUGUGCGGAAUUCGUGGUGUAGCGGUGAAAUGCUUAGAUAUCACGAAGAACUCCGAUUGCGAAGGCAGCACACUAAGCCGUAACUGACGUUCACGCUCGAAAGUGUGGGUAUCAAACAGGAUUAGAUACCCUGGUAGUCCACACGGUAAACGAUGGAUACUCGCUGUUGGCGAUAUACUGUCAGCGGCUU